rnacentral:lncRNA from 1 species
CCUCAUCAUCUUCAUGUUGAAUGGGCUGAGGAGGGGAAGAGGAGGGACUGGUCUUGCUGAUUCAGGGGUAGCAGAGGCAGAAGUGAUCAAGGAGGUAGAAGAUGAGACAGAAAAGGAAGGAACACUGAGUGUAAAUUCUAUUGAAAAAAAUCCACAUGUAAGUGACCUUUGCUGUCCAAAUCUGUGCUAUUCAAGGAUAAACUGUAAUUCUAACACAAUAUGACAAAUGUUAUAAAGCUACAAAUGGAGUUCUAUGGCAAAUGAUGGAGACGGAACAAUUCUGUCUUAUAAACUUAUAGAAUAUCUCAUUGAGAGGAUAAUAUUUUUAUGUGGAUCCUGAAAGAUCAAAUCAAAGCGAUGGGCCUUUCAGGUUAUAGAAACACUAUGAAGAAAUGCAUGGAAUAAUAAAGAGCAUGGUGUACUUUCUCCUGGAGAUUUGUGAAGUUCUAGGUAGCUGGAGUGCAGCUCUCAGAAGGAGCAUGGUAACAGAGAAGUCCAAUAAAAUAGACUGGUGGUUGAAAUUGAAUAUGCUAUAAAAAGGAAUUAGAACUUGGUCUUAUGAUUAAUGGGGAGCUAUCUCUUAUGAACUGUAGGGAGAAGAAAUUAGAAAAUGGAAAAUCAUUUGAAGAUAUUGCAAUUAUCCAGGUGAAAAAUAAUGAAGAUCAGAACUAAGACACUGUAAAUAGGAAUUAAGAGGUGGUAGAGUCUUAAUAGUGUUAUGGAUGCAAAAAUAAUAACAUUUAGACUAUUCCUUUUGUUGAACGUCUCCCACUAUUAAAAAAGUAUUACAUAAAUCAAGUCUGAAUGAAUCUUUGGUAUUUGCAGGUCUCAUUUUAGAAUCCAUGUUUCCAACUUCUCAGAACGUCUAGAAGCCUUGUCUAUACACAAAAUGUGCUUAUCGAUAACAUUUUAUCAAUGAAAAAGCUGAGCUUUGAUUCUGGAAUUAUUAAUUUUUUACAUGCCUUUCCCCAAUUUAUCAUUUCUUUUUCUGCUUUACAUGGAAGACAAACAGUUUAAUUCCACAAACAGUUAUUGAGCCCCUAUUAUGUUCUCAUAUAGCAAUAAAUACUAAUGAUAAAGAGGAGUAUAAUCUUUUAUCUCAGUCUUUAUGAAAUUCCUGGCCUAGUAAAGGUAGAGAGAAAGUAGGCCAAGAAGGACAAGAUCACAGCACCAAAUGGCUACAAUGCAGUCUAAAGGAACUGUUAAAAUCAGGUGGUAUGAGGGUUCAAGUGCUAAGAGGGUUCAAAGGAGUGAUGUUAAAGGAUUAGGUGUGGUUGGUAUUAGUCAUGGUUCUGUGCAAACCACAAACAAUGUGGUACAGGUUUUCAUGAUGAAGACAAGGGUGAUGAGAUGAUUGUGAUGAUGACGAUGAUGAUGGAGAAGGAGGACAAGUUCCUUUUAGCAUUUACAGUUUUAUCAGCUACUGCUGACAUUGUCUGUGGGCACAUGGCCAGGCAGGCCAUUCAUCCACAUUGACAUCUGGUUUCCUGCAUUAUGACUCAAACCACUGAUUAUGUAAUAAUAAUGAUAAUAACUGUUAGGCAAAGAGUCAAUUUCCACUGUUUGUUUUGUAUCUUCAGGGGAUUAAAGGCAGUUUUAUAAAACCUCCCUUAAAUUUACAGAAUAAAGCAAAUACACAGGAGGAAAUAUACCACCAAGGAUUAAAGAAGCUCAUGUCAGGACCAGGGAGUUUGCAGUCACAUAGAGUGACUCCCAGGGAAAUCAAAACAACCAGUAACCAUGGUGCUUGAAAUUUGGUGUUAUUACCUGGAGAGCACCUAUGCCUCACAAGAACAAGUAAAAUUUCUUUCAGUGGAUCAUACGAGUAGACAAUGCAUUUUUUUCCUUCCCCAAAACAUGCUCCAUGUAGGCAUCAAGAAACAGAGACAAAGAAUUUUCACUCUUUUUCUGUGCUAAAGUUGCCAAUCCGUCUAGCUGAUCAAGACAGCUAGGGCUAAGAAUCAAGUAAGUUUUUAGCCAAGAGUAGCAUUGAAAGAAAUAAAGAAAGAGAGAGAGAGAGAAAGAGAAGGAGAGCAAGAGAAAGAAA